AUCUUAGCAAUUCACCCGGACCAACGACCGGGACAAUCUCCGACGAGAUGGCAUCCAAACGAUCAGAGGAUGAAUACGGAGAAAAGGUCAACAGAGCUAUUGUCGACACGGGGGUGAAAAUGGCAACUGGCUUGGUUGUAGGUGGUGUGUUUUCCUUGGUUCUUUUUAAGAGAAGAACAUGGCCCAUUGCUUUUGGAGUUGGAACAGGAUUUGGAAUGGGUUACAGUAAUGCUGAAAAUGAUUUUCAGAAUAAAAAUGCAGCAUUGUUAAAGCGACUACAGGUAGAUAUCCAACUUCACAACUAAUAGAUGUAGAAAGCUACUACCAGUGCUUGAUUGCCAUAAAACAUGAGACAUCAGAACUUUACUUUGAAUAAUAUAUGUCUGUGAUCAAAAGAUGUGUAAUAAAAAAAUUCCCAGAAACAUCU
rnacentral:misc_RNA from 1 species